rnacentral:lncRNA from 1 species
GGUGUGUCUGCACGCUUGGGCCAGUUGUGCAGUGUUCACGAGGUGGAGGGCGGGCGUUGCAGAAGGCCCCUGGGAAGAUGUAGCGGGGGGCUCGGGGCGGGAGCAGUCCACCAGGGGGCGGGGCGUAGGCUGAGGCCUAGAGCGGGAGCGUGCGUCACUCAGUGCGGCGCGAGAAGCAGCGCGCUUGCGCCGCCGGUCCUCCAGCCGGUCGCUCGCGUUGACGCUCUGGCUGCCAGAGGUGGCAGGAACUAGGGCGGAAAGUGGAGGCGGGACCUGCGUGGCUGCCCUGCCUCUGUCCUGAUGCCAGGAGGUCGCCUAGCAACUGCCUGGUGGAAGUAGCUUCUAGGGUCACGGACCCUUUUAGGCACUCUUUAUGCUAGCAAGCCAAAGCCUGUUCUAACAAACCUGUUACUGAGCUGAGCUGCCUGAGUAGCAGUGCCGGAAAAAGUUUUAUUUCAUUCAUCACUAUUUUCCACUGCCUCGCUGGAUGAGGUACAGAAGUCUCAGAAAGAUCGCAUUGCCUAGCAUCAGGAGCAAGGGCGUUACUGUUACAGAGCAGGAGAGAGCAAGAUUAGAGGAAGAGAUCAAAGAAGAACUUCUUUGGAGAAUUUUAAAGAAAGAACUUGUUAAGAGAACUUUUAGAGAGAGAACUUUGUGGAGAACUUAGAAAUAAAGAUUAAAAUCACUUUUCAAGGUGUCCC